UGUGUUAUUUGGCUUUGUUCUUCAGAUUUAGACCCUCCCCUAAGUCAAACCGAAACUCCCCGAACUGGUGUCCUGCGAGAGCUGACCCUUUAGGAGUGUGCGCUUCGAGUCAUGUGAACUGAAACCUGUGGACUUCCCACAGCCCAGCGGGACCCACCUUCCCAAGCAGCAGGCCCGGAGCCUCGAGCUGACACGUCAAUCCUUGUGUUUCGUGCAGAUUUAGAAGGAAGGGCACCUGGAACCCCAGACGCACUUCAUUCACUGCAAACCCUGUGCCCUUAACCUGUUUCCAGUAUUCGGAGGAAUUACUGAUUGCUCACCAGAAUUGUUGUACAACUCACCGUCUCACCAGCAGUACGGAAGACCGUCUGGUAAUCCUCACCAACGCUGGCCAUUAUUAAGCUUUAUUUAUUGCCAAUGCUGUGUAAAUAGCCAGUUAUACAGCACUAGUAUUUUGCUUUCCAUUUCCUUAAUCAUGAGUGUAACUGAGAAAUCUGUCUCAUGUUUGAUGGUCAAGAACUGGCUUUUGAUAGUCUCUCUUUUUCGACGGGAUAUUUCCCCUUCUCUUUACUGACAUGACGAAGCUCUCUUUACAACAAGGAAAGACCCCACGGCUGGUCACUUGCCUCGCAAAACUUUCCUAAAUGUAUUGUUUCUCUUUUGGGUUUGUGUAUUUCGUGUGUAAAAGGUUAAGUUUUUGUGAAAUUUGUUGAUAAAUGUUAUUACUUCUGGCAUUCCCGACCCCCUUCAUCAUGAUUAUUUUUUCAAUCACUCAUCUUGUUUUAGCUCUUAUGAUUCCAGCUUCUUUUAAUAUAUGACACCGCUUUUGAAAGACGGUGGUUGGUAAUUUGUGAAGCCGCUGACUCCCCAGAUGACGUUCCUGUGAAACGCUUGGCAGUUGCAGAUGAACUUGGGUCCUCAGUGCCACUGACCAAGGCCGACAAAGGCAAGUGGCAUUAUUGUGCCAUUGUCACAUCAGUAUUUGAAGGACGACUGCGGAAGCUGAAAGCCCA
rnacentral:lncRNA from 1 species